rnacentral:lncRNA from 1 species
UUUCACACGGGUUGUGGCGUAGUUUAAGCAGAGAGGUUGCGCAGGAUAAAGUCUCUUCACCAUUGUUUCAACAUGAAGGUUUGUAAUAAAAAUUUGUUUCUAUCAGCAUUGCUUUGCAUUGCUAUUGCAGGAGUUUUGGGUCAAGCUCCUAGUAAUCCUCCUACGUCUACGCCGGCGCCACCCACACCACCGGCUUCUACUCCUCCUCCGACGACUCAACCACCGCCUACACCAACCGCCACUCCGCCACCAGUUUCUACUCCUCUUCCCACUUCAUCACCGCCCCCAGUGACAGCUUCUCCACCCCCAGUUUCAACUCCUCCACCCAGUUCUCCUCCUCCCGCAACUCCACCACCUGCUUCUCCACCUCCUGCAACUCCACCUCCAGCUUCUCCACCUCCUGCAACUCCACCUCCAGCUUCUCCACCUCCCGCCACUCCUCCACCAGCAACCCCCCCACCUGCAACUCCUCCUGCUACCCCACCACCAGCUCCAUUGGCUUCUCCUCCAGCCACAGUCCCAGCUAUCUCUCCAGUACAAACACCAUUGACCUCGCCACCAGCUCCGCCGACCGAGGCCCCAGCACCUACCCUCGGGGCUGCUACGCCAGGUCCAGCUGGAACAGACACGGUACAUUUUCUCUUAUUCCACCAUUUUAUAUCUUUCUUCUCCACCU